GAGAAAAACUGAGAGAUCGCCUGCUGUGGGUGUGAAAUCGUGCUGGAGGGGGUGGGAACGCUUUUCCUUUCCAGCUCGCCUCCUCCAGCUCCUCCCACACGGAUUCCCAGGACCCUCCCCUGGACCAGCCGCCCUGGAGAAGGCCUUCCUCCCCCGGCCCCGGUCCAGCCCGGAGUCUCCCUGGGUCAGAACCGCUGGUUCCGAGCUGCCUCUGGAGCCUCCCUCGUCCUCUCCCCAGGCUCGGGCUGGAGGAGGGUCUCCCAGAAGGGCCUCAGGUCGAAGGGCGCAUCCCUCCGGACCCACCCACCCUGCAGCUAAGUUGGGGAAAUCCUGACGGAAAUCUGAGAAAUCCCAGCACUUCAGGAAAGUGAAACUGCACACGUCGCGUGAUACGGCUGUGGCUCCGGACAAACAGGGAGACGCCCGAGAGGCAGGUGCAGGCAGAGGAGCCUCGCCCGCCAGGAUGAGCGCCCGGCGCCCAUAGCCCAGGAAAGUUCCCGCCACUCCCGUGACUUCCCAUAACCGGGGCCUCCUCGCAUCUGGGACUUGGGGCAGCGCCUCCCGGCCCUGGAGCCUCACCCCCCUCCUCCGCCUCCGCCUCCGCCUCCGCGCGGCCCCGCCCUGGAGCCGCCAGUUUUCCUCCCGUCCCGGCUCCGCGCAGCGUGCAGACCAGCGGCUGCGGGACAUCGAGCAGGCGCGGGCCCGACGGGCAGGUACAUGCUUACACCUCGCAGGCUGGCACCCCGCCCGGGACGCUGCCGCCUCCUCCCUGGCCCCCUUCCCGCCAGGGCCCGACGCCCUAGCAGCUGUUCUCAGCGGAGAAGGUGCCCCAGACACCAUCAGUGCCGGAUCUCCCAGCCCCUCCCAGGCCCCAGCGCAAGCCCAGGCCAGUCACUGCUGCUCGUCCUCCCGGGCUCCCCGUGCUCCCAGGUGGACACCCUCGCCGUGCGGGUCCCUGGGGUGGAGUCACUGAGGGGCUGCUGGACAGUCGCAGGCUGGUGACCGCCUCCCUGCCCAGCACCCGAGCUCACUCCGCCUCAAAGCCGCCCGCCCCUGCCGCCUGCUCCGGGAGGCCUGGUGGGUCUCGGGCCGUCCGUGUGCGGGCGGGCAGUUCGGACACAUCGGGUGGCACUUGGUUUGGGCCGAAUGCCCGGCGCUGGCUGAGCUGGCGACAGGGGCUGUGAGCGGCUGUGGCACCUGCCCAGGUGGUUUCGGUUUAGGGGCAGAGGGGUGUGUCGGGGUGUCUGUCUACCAGACUCUGCAGUCGUGCGGGGCCCCGGGGAGAGUCGGAAGAGUGGCCGGGGGUGUCUGGCUGAGGGCGGGCGUCAGGGCUUCGGGGCAGGUUCAGAGGGGCCCGGCUUUGAGCAGCAGGAAGGGCAGCCUGGCCAGGCCUGCCCUGCGGGAGCCCCACUCCACACCCACGGGGACACCCCAGGUCACGCCCACGGGGACACCAGGUCACAGGGACGCCGGGGGGAGGGGCCGGCACACAAACAGCACGUCUCGUGACCCGCAGGGCGUUUGCCGGGAGAGGCGCAAGUAGAUAACGAUGUUUGAGACCGAGAGUCCACGUAAUACAGUCGUUAGCAUUCAGGGUCUGCGGUGUCAUGGAAACCAAGCAGGUUGGGGACCGGGAGGCGGGCAGGGCCUGGAGGCGGCAGGCAAAUGCCCGACAGCAAAGGUGGCCAGGCCGGGCAGCGAGGUCUCUGGAGUUCACCCUCUUUUUUUUUU